CAAGUGACCCCGGUCUAACCACCGGGAUGUUCAUAACCCUUUGUUGUCCGACUCUGUUGCCUCCGGGGCGACCCUGCCCUCGGGCGGGGGCUCCGAGUGGACACUUCAAACUCUUGCGUAACUUUGCAGUCUGAGUAAACUUAAUUAAUAAAUUA
rnacentral:misc_RNA from 1 species